rnacentral:rRNA from 1 species
GUCUUUUUGAUAAUAAUUUAAAGUCUAAUCUGCCCAUUGAAGUAUUUAACGGCCGCAGUAUUUUGACUGUGCGAAGGUAGCAUAAUCAGUAGUUUCUUAAUUAGGAACUGGAAUGAAAGAUUGGAUGAGAAAUUAACUGUCUUAAAUUUAAUUAAUUAGAAAUUUAUUUUUAAGUUAAAAAGCUUAAAUAAUAUUUAAAGACGAGAAGACCCUAUAGAAUUUUAUAAAUUAAUAAUUUUAUUAUUAAGAUUAAAAUUAUAAAAUUAUAAAAUUUAUUUGAUUGGGGUGAUUAUAAAAUUUAUAAAACUUUUAUUAUUAAAAAUCAAUAAUUAUUGUAUACUUGAUCCAUUUAUUAUGAUUAUAAGAAUAAAUUACCUUAGGGAUAACAGCGUAAUUUUUUUUGCAAGUUCUUAUUAAAAAAAAAGAUUGCGACCUCGAUGUUGGAUUAAAAUAAAUAGUUGGUGAAGAAGCUAAUAUAUUAGGUCUGUUCGACCUUUAAAAUUUUACA